CAAUAGCGUAUAUUAAAGUUGUUGCGGUUAAAAAGCUCGUAGUUGGAUUUCUGCUGAGAACGACCGGUCCGCCCUUUGGGUGUGUAUCUGGCUCUUUCUUGGCAUCUUCUUGGUGAACGUUGCUGCACUUGACUGUGUGGAGCGCUACCCAGGACUUUUACUUUGAGGAAAUUAGAGUGUUUCAAGCAGGCAUACGCCUUGAAUACAUUAGCAUGGAAUAAUAAGAUAGGACCUCGGUUCUAUUUUGUUGGUUUCUAGAGCUGAGGUAAUGAUUAAUAGGGAUAGUUGGGGGCAUUCGUAUUUAACUGUCAGAGGUAAAAUUCUUGGAUUUGUUAAAGACGGACUACUGCGAAAGCAUUUGCCAAGGAUGUUUUCAUUG
rnacentral:rRNA from 1 species